CGGAUUGGAGUCUGCAACUCGAUUCCAUGAAGCUGGAUUCGCUAGUAAUCGCGCAUCAGCCAUGGCGCGGUGAAUACGUUCCCGGGCCUUGUACACACCGCCCGUCAAGCCAUGGGAGCCGGGGGUGCCUGAAGUACGUGACCGCGAGGAGCGUCCUAGGGCAAAAACUGGUGACGUGGGGCUAAGUCGUAACAAGGUAAC
rnacentral:rRNA from 1 species